rnacentral:rRNA from 1 species
AUUGAACGCUGGCGGCAGGCCUAACACAUGCAAGUCGAACGGUAACAGGAAACAGCUUGCUGUUUCGCUGACGAGUGGCGGACGGGUGAGUAAUGUCUGGGAAACUGCCUGAUGGAGGGGGAUAACUACUGGAAACGGUAGCUAAUACCGCAUAACGUCGCAAGACCAAAGAGGGGGACCUUCGGGCCCCUUGCCAUCGGAUGUGCCCAGAUGGGAUUAGCUAGUAGGUGGGGUAACGGCUCACCUAGGCGACGAUCCCUAGCUGGUCUGAGAGGAUGACCAGCCACACUGGAACUGAGACACGGUCCAGACUCCUACGGGAGGCAGCAGUGGGGAAUAUUGCACAAUGGGCGCAAGCCUGAUGCAGCCAUGCCGCGUGUAUGAAGAAGGCCUUCGGGUUGUAAAGUACUUUCAGCGGGGAGGAAGGGAGUAAAGUCAAUACCUUUGCUCAUUGACGUUACCCGCAGAAGAAGCACCGGCUAACUCCGUGCCAGCCGCCGCAGUAA